AGGGCAGGAGGAGUUAAUGGAGGUUAAGUUGGGCGCCUGUCGCAGGGGAGAUGGCUCGUCCAUGUAUGUCUAAGCAUCCACCCGUAGGUCACUGUGGCUAGCCUAGCCUAGCCUAGCCAUGCCAUGCAUGUAUAAGCCAUCUUGCCGCGGCAGGACUCCAUCCAACCUCUAAAGAUGAGCAACCAUAUCCCACUUUCACCUUUUUUCAUACUGCAUAUGUAUUCUCUUUGUUUUUGUCUUCUUAGAUUGACUUUGGACAGCUCCUGUACUGAAGGUUGAACCCUGAACUUUGGGUCCAGUUGAAAUUUUUUUUUGUCCAAGUUGGCAAUUCCAUUGCUUUAUGAUGAGAGGUUGAGGUUUAUAGGUUGACCUCUGGUUGGUUGCCAUAUAUCCUUCACUUUCAAAACAAUUGAACACAGUAAAGUGGGAUAAUGAAUUUUUUACCC
rnacentral:lncRNA from 1 species